rnacentral:rRNA from 1 species
ACCGGGGACCUCCCAGACGGAGGGAGCUCAGCCCGGCCAGCUGCAGCCUCCCCGGCUCGCCCGGCCGCCCCCUACGAGAUAGAGGACGGCGCACCGGGACAGCAGGCGGCAUUCCAGCGGCCGCCUGGGCGCCCGGGGAAGUAGAGGAAUUGCCGCCCCGGCCGGGCCGGAGAGGGCGAGGGACCGGCGGCGGGCCGGAGGGAGCGGCGGCCGGGUGGCGAACGAGAGUAGAGGGGCGCAGGACUCUGGCGCCGCGGCCCAGCAGCUGCGGCGCGGACGAGCAGUCUGCCCGCCUGGCCUUCCUCUCAGUCUCCGCCCGGUUCUCUUGACUGAGUGCCGAGCGCGGCCAAAACGUUUACUUUGAAAAAAUUGGAGUGUUCAAAGCAGGCCGACCGCCUGGACAGCACAGCAUGGAAUAAUGGAAUAGGACCUCGGUUCUAUUGCGUUGGUUUUCGGAACUCGAGGUAAUGCUAAAGAAGGACUGACGGGGGCAUUCGUAUUGCGGUGUGAGAGGUGAAAUUCUUGGAUCGCCGAAAGACGACCGACUGCGAAAGCAUUUGCCAAGAAUGUUUUCAUUAAUCAAGAACGAAAGUUACAGGUUCGAAGGUGAUCAGAUACCGUCCUAGUUCUAACCAUAAACGAUGCCGACUGGCGAUCCGCCGGCGUUACUCCAAUGACGCGGCGGGCAGUCUGCGGGAAGCCAAAGAAAACUCACCCGGCCCGGACACAGUGAGGAUUGACAGAUUGAGAGCUCUUUCUUGAUUGUGUGAGUGGUGGUGCAUGGCCGUUCUUAGUUGGUGGAGCGAUUUGUCUGGUUAAUUUCGAUAACGAACGAGACUCUGGCUUGCUAAAUAGUCGCGCCGGACGCCGCGCCGGGCGCUGACUUCUUAGAGGGACAAGUGGCGUUUAGCCACGCGAGAUUGAGCAAUAACAGGUCUGUGAUGCCCUUAGAUGUUCGGGGCCGCACGCACACUACACUGAAGGGAUCAGCGGAUAGCCGCCCUUGGCCGGAAGGUCUGGGCAAUCCGUUGAACCUCAUUCGUGCUUGGGAUAGGGAGUUGCAAUUGUCUCCCUUGAACGAGGAAUUCCCAGUAAGCGCGAGUCAUCAGCUCGCGUUGAUUACGUCCCUGCCCUUUGUACACACCGCCCGUCGCUACUACCGAUUGAAUGGUUUAGUGAGAUCCUCGGACGGGCCGCAGCGGGGCGCCCCGGCGCCUCGCUCGUGCGCCCAGAAGACAAUCGAACUUGAUGAUUUAGAGGAAGUAAAAGCCGUAACAAGGUUUCCGUAGAUGAACCUGCGGAAG